rnacentral:rRNA from 1 species
CGAUGACGGUAAUCAUGCGAAUAAGGGGCGGCUAAUUACGUGCCAGCAGCCGCGGUAACACGUAAGCCCCAAGCGUUGUUCGGAAUUAUUGGGCGUAAAGGGCAUGUAGGCGGUUAUGUAAGCCUGAUGUGAAAUCUACGAGCUUAACUCGUAAACUGCAUUGGGUACUGCGUAACUUGAAUCACGGAGGGGAAACCGGAAUUCCAAGUGUAGGGGUGGAAUCUGUAGAUAUUUGGAAGAACACCGGUGGCGAAGGCGGGUUUCUGGCCGAUGAUUGACGCUGAGAUGCGAAGGUGCGGGGAGCAAACAGGAUUAGAUACCCUGGUAGUCCGCACAGUAAACAAUGUACACUAGGCGUUGGAGCAAGAGCUUCAGUGCCGACGCAAACGCAUUAAGUGUACCGCCUGGGAAGUAUGCCCGCAAGGGUGAAACUCAAAAAGGAAAUUGACGGGGGCCCACACAAGCGGUGGAGCAAUGUGGUUUAAAUUCGGAUGGAAUAACGCGGAA